GUGAAUCAUCAAAUUUUUGAACGCAAAUUGCACUCUCCUCGGAGAGUAUGCCUGUGUUAGGGUCAGCAUAUGAAAAAACGACAUAGUUGUUGUUUAUCGUUAGCGAUCGUCGGAAAUUGGAUCAUCUUAAAUCAUUUUUAUUUAAGAGACUUAUAAUCUUCUUUUGGAUCCAUGAACGUGUCUAAGAUCUAUUUCUUUACACGUUUAAGGUAUCUAUUUUUACUAGACGUGACCAUCAUAUCGGCUCGCGUCAAUAAUCUUUCAUUUACUUACCUU
rnacentral:misc_RNA from 1 species